CCUACGGGUGGCAGCAGUGAGGAAUAUUGGUCAAUGGCCGAGAGGCUGAACCAGCCAAGUCGCGUGAGGGAAGAAUGUCCUAUGGAUUGUAAACCUCUUUUGUCAGGGAGCAAAGUCACCCACGUGUGGGUGUUGGAGAGUACCUGAAGAAAAAGCAUCGGCUAACUCCGUGCCAGCAGCCGCGGUAAUACGGAGGAUGCGAGCGUUAUCCGGAUUUAUUGGGUUUAAAGGGAGCCUAGGCCGCAGUUCAAGCGUGCUGUGAAAUGUCUGGGAUAAACCCGGGCCUGGAGGAGCGAAAUGGCGUGCUUGAGUCGGCGGAAAGCAGGCGGAAUUGGUCGUGUAGCGGUGAAAUGCUUAGAUAGGACGAAGAACCCCGAUUGCGAAGGCAGCUUGCUGCAGCGGAACUGACGCUGAUGCUCGAAAGCGCGGGUAUCGAACAGGAUUAGAUACCCCGGUAGUC
rnacentral:rRNA from 1 species